CUCCAGCACGGUGUAGUGGGACAGCUGGUGUUGUGAAUCAGGCCGUUGCCAAUCAAAGAACGGCUACUUCACAACACCAGGGUCACACUGCACCACAGG
rnacentral:miRNA from 1 species